UGAGUGGGAAGAUGACUCCAGCUUGCAAAGGGCAGCCAAGGAUGACCAAAAGGAAGUGACUUUGUGUUUAUCAAACCACUUUGAUUGGCUCAAAAUAUCCAGGCCCCCAUCUGAAACCUACUCUCCUGUUAACAAAAUGUGAAAAUAAGCCCUUGUCUAAGGGCUUCCUUUGCCAAGCACAGUCCCGCAAGAAGAUCAUCUGUGUUGACUUCUGUGGAAUCACUCUGUGAUUGGUUUUGAGCAUGAAGCCGCACAGAAUCAGCCCUCCGAAGGAGGACUUCAAGAUCUUCGAAUUUCCUUCUGGCGCAUCCCUUACACGGUAACAAAAGGCAACAUGGCCCCCAGUCACCAACUCUCCCAUGUGCUGAGGAGAAAACGUCGGUACAAUUUAGC